UUGGGGUUAACCACCCACCGGGCUUCCGCGCCUCGGCACCGCCCCUGCAGCCCCUGACUGGACAAUCCUCCCAGACCCUGCCCCCUGCGUCCUGAGUGACAAGCUGCUCGGACACACGCGGCCUCCGGGCGUGGGCUCGGAGCCGAACCCGCUCCCAGCGCUCGGACCUGCCGGCGCCUGCGUCUUCCCCCUGGACCUUGGAGUCCUGACUCCGUGUACCCGCGAGCUCCCCUCGCUGGGAGCCGGGACGGGAGGGGACGGACCGGAGGGGCUGCUGAACCCUAGGGUCAAGGGUUGGCCUGGGGGCAAGGUCAGCGUUCAGGUGGGCCUUUUGUUCAAGAACAAAGAUCCUCGCCGGUGACGUCACUGCGCGCUGGGCGGGGCCGGCGGGUUGACAGCCGUGGGGGUUGGGGGCCCCCGAGCUCGCUCCGGGUCCCCACCUCUGGGGCCUGAGGUCAGCAAACCGCCCCCUCCUCCGCCCACCCCGGGGAGGAGGGACCCCGGCUCUGCAGCCUGGCCCGGGACCCCAGAAUUUGGGGUCAGAUGUGCCUUUUCCCCGUUACAGCCAGGACCGCGAGACUGGAAGGCCCUGAAAGCGUUUGGGGGGGUUCUGGGGCGCUGCGGUCUGGGAGACGCGGGUCCGACCCCGAAGCGGGGCUGGAGCCGGCGAGACCACGCGGUUACAUAAGUUGUUUUGAAAGGAUCGCGAUUGGCGCUGGCCGAGCGCGCGCCGCCCGUCGGGCCCGCGAUUGGCUGCGGGGCGAACAGGCGCUACAGUGUCUCUAUUUCAGUCCCGGGAGGGAGCGCGUUCCCGGAGCCCCGCCGUGGCCGUCGGCGAAAGUGAAAAGUUCACGGUGUUCUGAGCGUUGGAACGCGACGUGUGCGUAGACACGGCCUCCUCCGUGUCCUUCCGACUUUUUUUUUCUUUUUUUUUUUUGCGGGACUCUUUUAGGGAUGCCCUCGUGAUUUUAAAUCUUCACACCAUACAAGGAAAUGUUUUGGGGGUUCGUUUCUGGGUGUAUCCCUAGAGAAUUCUGCAGCAUAGAAGGCUGUGAUAUCUUGAAGGCAAUCGAAUGCCUAUUUCAACAGAUUUAAAAGCAGUGAAAGCUGAAAUCAUUUAUGGGGGACCGGAAACUCUCAAUAGACCCCCAGCAGCGUUUAACGGGACCGCCCGUUUCAAAAUAGAUCCCCCAGUUUUGGACAGAGAAGGUUAUCAACUCCGGUGGGUGUCCUUGACCGUUCUACCUACAAACGCAAUUAUAAAAAUUCGUUUUCUCUGUUUUGCAGAAAGCUGUCAUUCGCCUCCAUAAAAAUGAGUGUUCUGAGCGUUAAAAACGAAAUUCAUCUGAGAACAUUUGAAUACAACCUCCUGCCAACCUGGAAAAUCCCUCACAAAGCCAGGAGAGAAAGGAAAAAGUUUUAUUUCUGAAUCAGCACUAAACCAGAACAUGACCUGCAUCCAAGGCAGUCCUCUAAGAGAUUGCAAAGACAAAGAAAUCUCUUUGACUUACAUAGCCAAGCAGAGGCAAGCCAUGACAUACAUGGUCUCAAGCUGAGCAUCACCAGUCUUAACAGGACAGAAACCAACAGCCUCGGUCAUACAAUCAUGCCUCCUCAAGCCACCUGGGAGUUGGGUGACCCUUGAUAUUAAUCAGCUUUAUGCAAAGGG